AUCAAGAACGAAAGUUAGAGGUUCGAAGGCGAUUAGAUACCGCCCUAGUUCUAACCAUAACGAUGCCAGCUAGCGAUCUGAGGACGUUUUUUUUGUAGACUCCUCAGGAAGCUUCCGGGAAACCAAAGCGUGUGGGUUCCGGGGGAAGUAUGGUUGCAAAGCUGAAACUUAAAGGAAUUGACGGAAGGGCACCACCAGGAGUGGAGCCUGCGGCUUAAUUUGACUCAACACGGGAAAUCUCACCAGGCCCGGACACUGGAAGGAUUGACAGAUUGAGAGCUCUUUCUCGAUUCGGUGGGUGGUGGUGCAUGGCCGUUCUUAGUUGGUGGAGUGAUUUGUCUGGUUAAUUCCGAUAACGAACGAGACUCUGUCCUGCUAAAUAGUGUCAGCCUCUCUUUUGGGCUGACAAUUCUUCUUAGAGGGACUGGCGGCUCCUAGCCGCACGAGAUAGAGCAAUAACAGGUCUGUGAUGCCCUUAGAUGUUCUGGGCCGCACGCGCGCUACACUGAAUAGAUCAGCGUGUUCUCCCUUUCUGAGAAGAACGGGUAAACCGCUGAACCCUAUUCGUGGUAGGGAUCGGGGCUUGCAAUUAUUCCCCGUGAACCAGGAAUUUCCAGUAGGCGCGAGUCAUAAGCUCGCGUCGAUUACGUCCCUGCCCUUUGUACACACCGCCCGUCGCUAAUACCGAUUGAAUGGAUA
rnacentral:rRNA from 1 species